rnacentral:rRNA from 1 species
UGCAAGUCGAACGCUAAUACAAAGGUAGCAAUAUCGUUGUGUUGGAGUGGCGAAAGGGUGAUUAACACGUGGGCAAGUUACCGCGAGAUCUGGGAUAACCUGCUGAAAGGCAGGCUAAUACUGGAUAACACCUUGGAUCGGCAUCGAUUCAAGUUUAAAGCUGGGGACCCGUGAGGGCCUGGCGACUCGCGAUACGCCCGCGUCCUAUCAGCUAGUUGGCGGGGUAAAAGCCCACCAAGGCUAAGACGGGUAGCUGGUCUAAGAGGACGACCAGCCACACUGGAACUGAGACACGGUCCAGACACCUACGGGUGGCAGCAGUCGAGAAUUUUUCACAAUGGGCGAAAGCCUGAUGGAGCGACGCCGCGUGGGGGAUGAAUGGCUUCGGCCCGUAAACCCCUGUCAUUUGCGACUAAACUCUGAAAUUGAAUAGAUUUCAGACUGAAAGUAGCGAAAGAGGAAGGGACGGCUAACUCUGUGCCAGCAGCCGCGGUAAUACAGAGGUCCCAAGCGUUGUUCGGAUUUACUGGGCGUAAAGGGUGCGUAGGUGGUAGGGUAAGUUCAAUGUGAAAGCUUCGGGCUCAACCCGAAAAUUGCAUCGAAUACUAUCCUGCUGGAGGAUCGGAUGGGAGACUGGAAUUCUCGGUGUAGCAGUGAAAUGCGUAGAUAUCGAGAGGAACACCUGUGGCGAAGGCGAGUCUCUGGACGAUUCCUGACACUGAGGCACGAAAGCUAGGGGAGCAAACGGGAUUAGAUACCCCGGUAGUCCUAGCUGUAAACGGUGCGCACUUGCUGUAAGAGGAUUCGAACCCUUUUGUGGCGAAGUUAACACGUUAAGUGCGCCGCCUGGGGAGUACGGUCGCAAGACUAAAACUCAAGAAAUUGACGGGGCCUGCACAAGCGGUGGAGUAUGUGGCUUAAUUCGAUGCACGCGAAG